rnacentral:misc_RNA from 1 species
UGGAAUUCUGAAAUACAUAAAGUCACCAUCCAGGAUGCUCAAGGUAGAAACCACACAUUAAGUCGGUACUAUGCAAUGUGGAAUAAGCCCAGGCCUGAGUCUUCAGUCUUAGACAAGAAAUAUGCUUCCAAGUUACUGAAGGUCUCUGAGAAACAGCAAUUUUACCGAGAACUGGCUUCAGCUGCUGAAUCUGGAUGGGAUUUCAGUACAAGAUGGAUGAGGAAUUCUUCAGAGUUUACGACAUUGGCUACAACAUCAGUCUUACCUGUUGAUUUAAAUGUAUUUAUACUCAAGAUGGAACUAGACAUUGCCUUCUUGGCAAAUAAAACUGGAGAGGAAAGCAUAGCAGCGAGUUUCUUGGAAGCUUCUCAAGCAAGAAAGAGGGCAAUCAACUCUGUUUUCUGGAAUGAAAAGAUGGGACAGUGGCUUGACUACUGGCUCACUACUGGCACCACAUGUCAGGAAUCUCAAACAUGGAAUGCUUGUAACCAAAAUCAGAAUGUGUUUGCUUCAAACUUCUCUCCUUUGUGGAUUGAUAAGUUCAAUUCAGAUCCAAAUUUGGUGAAGAGUAUCAUGAGAAGUCUUGAAAGUUCAGGCUUACUUUGUGCUGCUGGAAUUGCCACGUCUUUAACAAAUUCAGGAGAACAAUGGGACUUUCCAAAUGGUUGGGCUCCAUUUCAACACAUUAUAGUUGAAGGUCUGGCAAGAUCUGGAUCACAAGAAGCGAGGUCACUGGCAGAAGACAUAGCUGUGAGAUGGAUCAGAACCAACUAUGUCACAUACAAGAAAACAGGUGCAAUGCAUGAAAAAUACAAUGUAGAGAAGUGUGGAGAAUUUGGACGUGGUGGUAAAUAUUUACCUCAGACUGGCUUUGGUUGGUCAA